rnacentral:lncRNA from 1 species
CCGGUGCUCCCUGCGGGCGCCCUGCAGCCUGGGCCAGGCGGGGUCAGCAGCCCCUCCCUCCACAGAGGCCCAGCUCCCCGGGGCGACACUCCUGGCCUCAGUUGCCCGAGAAUGGCCAAGCCCCCUGGAGCAUGAAGAACAACAGCUGUGGAAACAGCAACACGGAGGGGGACGGUCCCCAAGGAGCCGGGUCCUCACGCUGGCUCCCCGCGCCCGGGCCGCGUGGCCACGCAGUCCUCGCCUCUGCUGCGUGCGCUCCGACUUAUUUCAAGCUUUGACCUAAAUUUCAUACGUUGUUUCUGAAAGCAAAGGAUCCCCAAGCCGUGACCCAUCAGCCCGCAGGCCUCGGACCCCGGGCUCUCUGCACCUGCUGCUCCAGGGCCAGGGCCACCAACCUCCUGUGUCCACCCCGCGGGACUGCCCUGGCCACCGCUCUCCACCGCCUGUCACUCCCCUCCCCGGCCCCACGCUGCCUGCGGUUCCCUCUGCCACCGGAGGGCCUGUGUCACCAAGGUGGGGAUGCUGCCCCCCGCCCCCGUCGUCCCACUCGCCAGGACCAGGACCGGGACCAGCAGGGACAGGGCCCUGCCCCUUGCUUCCCCACCACUGCCCGCGGCACCACAGGCCGCCAGGAGGUGCUGCGUGUCCCAGCAGUCGGGCCGGGGCUCCCCAGCCUCCUGCACGCGCACACGCACACGUGGGGCUGGAAACGGGGGUGCGAGGGGACGACAGUCGGAUCCGUUGUUUCAAAAUUCAUGAAAACCAACCAAAAAAACAACAACAAAAAAAACAAAAAUUCAUGAAAACCUAUGCUCCUGAGGCAGCAGGCGGGCAUGGGGGGGCAGGCCCUGCGGUCAGGCGUCUGCCCACGGGGACACCCCCCCCCCCCCCCGCAGCAGCGCUCCCAGGCCCCGGCCGAGCUGGGCACCGCGUGUCGCAGCCCCACACUCCCCACUGGGUGUCGCCCAUCUCCGGUCCGGUCCGGAAGGAGAGUCCACGUGGUGGGGGUUGGGCCAGCCCGGGGGCGGGAGGGGCAGUGGGAUCCUUAGUUCCCCAUUUUACAAAUGAGGAAGCCGGUAGACCCAGG